CCAAGGUCAGGUGAGUCUGAGGCAUCUCCUUCUCACCUCACCUGUUACCUGCCAUCACUUCCUUCCCGGAAAUGCUGCGUACCUUAAGGUGAAACCUUCUUCCCUUAGAAUGCCUGUUUCAUGGCUGAGCUACAAGCAAGCCUUU